rnacentral:rRNA from 1 species
AUUGAACGCUGGCGGCAGGCCUAACACAUGCAAGUCGAACGAGCGGCGGACGGGUGAGUAAUGUUUGGGAAACUGCCCGAUGGAGGGGGAUAACUACUGGAAACGGUCGCUAAUACCGCAUACCAUCGGAUGUGCCCAGAUGGGAUUAGCUAGUAGGUGGGGUAACGGCGCACCUAGGCGACGAACUCUAGCUGGUCUGCGAGGAUGACCAGCCACACUGGAACUGAGACACGGUCCAGACUCCUACGGGAGGCAGCAGUGGGGAAUAUUGCACAAUGGGCGCGAGCCUGAUGCAGCCAUGCCGCGUGUAUGAAGAAGGCCUUCGGGUUGUAAAGUACUUUCAGCGGGGAGGCGUUACCCGCAGAAGAAGCACCGGCUAACUCCGUGCCAGCAGCCGCGGUAAUUC